UACGGGGGGGGCAAGCGUUGUUCGGACUUACUGGGCGUAAAGGGCUUGUAGGUGGCCAACUAAGUCCGACGUGAAAUCCCUAGGCUUAACCUAGGAACUGCGUCGGAUACUGGAUGGCUUGAAUCCGGGAGAGGGAUGCGGAAUUCCUGGUGUAGCGGUGAAAUGCGCAGAUAUCAGGAGGAACACCGGUGGCGAAGGCGGCAUCCUGGACCAUUACUGACACUGAAAAGCGAAAGCCAGGGGAGCAAACGGG
rnacentral:rRNA from 1 species